rnacentral:rRNA from 1 species
UACGUAGGGUGCAAGCGUUUGUCCGGAUUUAUUGGGCGUAAAGGGCUCGUAGGCGGUUUGUCGCGUCGGGAGUGAAAACUCAGGGCUUAACCCUGAGCCUGCUUCCGAUACGGGCAGACUAGAGGUAUGCAGGGGGAGAACGGAAUUCCUGGUGUAGCGGUGAAAUGCGCAGAUAUCAGGAGGAACACCGGUGGCGAAGGCGGUUCUCUGGGCAUGACCUGACGCUGAGGAGCGAAAGUGUGGGGGAGCGAACAGG